CUACGGGCUGCUGCAGUGAGGAAUAUUGGUCAAUGGGGGAAACCCUGAACCAGCGACGCCGCGUGUGGGAUGAAGGGGCUCUGCCCUGUAAACCACUGUUGAGAGGGAAGAAAAGCUUUUUGAAAAGCUGGGACUGUACCUCUUUAGAAAGGAUCGGCUAACUACGUGCCAGCAGCCGCGGUAAUACGUAGGAUCCAAGCGUUGUCCGGAAUUACUGGGUAUAAAGGGUGCGUAGGCGGGCUUGUGCGUCAGAGGUUAAAUCCCACGGCUCAACUGUGGAGCUGCCUUUGAUACGGCAAGUCUUGAGUGUGAGAGAGGAUGGUAGAAUUCCUGGUGUAGCGGUGAUAUGCGUAGAUAUCAGGAGGAAUACCGGUGGCGAAGGCGGCCAUCUGGCUCAUUACUGACGCUGAGGCACGAAAGCGUGGGGAGCGAACAGGAUUAGAUACCCCAGUAGUC
rnacentral:rRNA from 1 species